rnacentral:rRNA from 1 species
GACGAACGCUGGCGGCGUGCCUAACACAUGCAAGUCGAGCGAGUGAAUCUCCUUCGGGAGUGAAGCUAGCGGCGGACGGGUGAGUAACACGUGGGCAACCUGCCUCAUAGAGGGGAAUAGCCUUUCGAAAGGAAGAUUAAUACCGCAUAAGAUUGUAGCUUCGCAUGAAGUAGCAAUUAAAGGAGCAAUCCACUAUGAGAUGGGCCCGCGGCGCAUUAGCUAGUUGGUGAGGUAACGGCUCACCAAGGCGACGAUGCGUAGCCGACCUGAGAGGGUGAUCGGCCACAUUGGGACUGAGACACGGCCCAGACUCCUACGGGAGGCAGCAGUGGGGAAUAUUGCACAAUGGGGGAAACCCUGAUGCAGCAACGCCGCGUGAGUGAUGACGGCCUUCGGGUUGUAAAGCUCUGUCUUCAGGGACGAUAAUGACGGUACCUGAGGAGGAAGCCACGGCUAACUACGUGCCAGCCGCCGCCGUAACAC